ACACCUCAACUCUCACGGUUUGCCCGUGAUGAGCUUGGACUUCUGGAGGCUUUGCUGGCCUAAGGCCGGCUCCUCUCAAAUAGAUCAGCUUACCAGUGUUUGGUGGCGCCAUGGGUGUGAUAACUAUCUACGCUUGUGGCCGUCUGCCAGGUAACCUUCAGUGAUGGAGGUUUGCUGGGGCUUACAAAUGUCUCUCCCCAGUGAAGACAGCUUUUUGAAC
rnacentral:misc_RNA from 1 species